AGCAAACAAACACACACCAUGGGAUGGGACUGUAAACCCGCAUUCAGUUCAAUUGUAGGUAUUCUAAGGCUGAAAUCCUAUGCCCACUUUAUUGGGAGUAAACCCCGUUAAACUUAAAGGGACUUAACCUUUGAGUAGGAUUACGCUGCGAGUGCUCAGGAACUGGGGUUGUUUUUCACCGAAGCAAAGAAUAGGAGAGUUGGAAGGGACCCCAAGGGUCAUCUAGUCCAACCCCCUGCAAUGCAGGAAUCGCAAGUGGAUCAUACAUGACAGAAGGCGCCAGCCAUCUGUUUUAGGGCACUGUGUGUUCUCAAUUUAUGUUUUGUCAUUUUAUGCUUCAUUAAGCCGCCCAGAGAACAGUGUUACUGUCCAGCCUUCUAUAAAAAUAAGAAACCACGCUUAAUUCGGAAGUAGCUCCCAAUGGUGUGAACAUAAGGCUCUUGUAAUGGGGUCGGAGAAUUGGAACCUUGGAGACCAGGGUUCAAAUCUGCACUUAGCCAUGAAUCUCAAUGUGUGACUUGGCAAUAGUUGUGCUAAUCUACCUUCUCAGCGUUGUUGUGAGGAGUAGAGGAUAAUAUUGUACGCCACCUUGAGCUUUUUGGAGGAAAUAGGGAUUUAACUGUACAGUAGUAGUAGUAGUAGUAGUAGUAAUCACUUCCUUGCUCAGAAGUCAGUCCCGCUGCUAUCAAUGGAAUUUCCUUCCUCUAGGAAAUGUGCGAAGAAAUGCCUCCCGAUUCCACGCGUGUUCGUGGAAAAUCAGUCACAGGGACUCACUCUUAGUGAAGAGUGCAGCUUAUUGAGACUUACUUCCUGGUAAGUAUGCUAUAGAUUUGCUCAGUCAAUCAGUCCCAGUCGAUUCGGUUUCUCACCCCCAUGGUCACCAUCCUCUCUGUCUAGCAGAUUCGGAAUGAAAUGUCUCGGCAACAGUUGUUUUGAAUUGUUCUCUUCUGACCUCGAGCACUCGGAAAAAAUCUGUCAAAUCUUUCUAUCAUUUCUAGUUUUAGUUAAGUAUUCUUAUUUAUCUACUUGAUUUGGGAAGGCAGCUGCGCCCAUGGCGGACUCUUCAAACUGCUAGCAGCCUGUCAAAUCGCUCCGCAGGAAACCAACGCUACCCACGGGACAGCUGUUCAUCUCCAAUCUUUUAUUCCGCAGCUUCGGGCCCAGUGGGCGUUUUCUUGGGCUGCAAAGGCUGCCACAGAGGAACUAUUUCCAGCUUCUUGAAAAUCUAUACAGGCUUCUAGGAAGUCCUUUUGGGUCCCCAGCUGUUGUUGGACGAUUCCCAUCAAGCCUGCCCGCUGGUAUUGCUAGCUAGGGAGUGUAGAGUUGCAGCCCAACACUAGCCAGGGACCCCAGGUUGAGAAACACUAGGGCGGCAGCGAGCGAGGGAGCGCGCGAUCCAAAUUCUAGAGAUCUUGCGCGCACUGGGCCAGAUGAUCCUGAAAGGAGCUGCUGGUUUCCCCGCUGCACCCAGGAAUGGAUCCUUUCCCCACCGCUGAUGCCCGGAGACGAACCGGUCUUUCCAUAACCCGGAGCGCAGGGCAUCUCAAAGGCGGAGUUAAAAGAACCAUUGAAUUCCAGAGUUGUCAGGAAACCCGAGGGUCAUCUAGCCCAAACCCCUGCAAUGCAAUAUUCCCCUCCCCAUAGAAUUUUUUUUAAAGGAGGGGGGAGUAGUAGCAAGUGGGAGGGGACAGAUCCUUCAAGGUUAUGAAAACCAAGCCUUACGAGGAGCGCUGAGAGGAGAGAUGAUAGCCUUUUGCAAGUAUCUUCAGGAGUGUAGGACUGGAACCCAUGGCUUCGGAUUUCAAGAAAGGAAAUUCCGACUGAACAUACGGGAGGGAAAACACUUUCUGGCAGUAAGCUGUUCAAACAGUGGAACAGUCUCCCUCGGGAGUUUGUAGACUCUCCUUAUUGGGAGAUUUUAAAGCAGAGGUUGGAUAAGCCAUCUGUCAUGGAUGCUCUAGCUGAGAUUUCUGCAUUGCAAGGGGUUGGACUACAUGACUCUCGGGUCCCUUCCAACUCUACGAUUCUAUGAAGAUGAAACCUGGAUUGGUCAGACCAAUGAGUCUAAUCGUGGGAAAGAGGAAUAUUCAUGUCUAAACGGAUAGAUCCGUACAUAUCUUUUUGUUGUUGUUGGGGUGGGUGGAGGGGGAACCAUAGCCGCGGAGGACGCAGAGCACAUCCUUUGUGUGCAGAAGGUCCCCGGUUAAAUCCCCAGUAUCGCGGGGUAGGACUGGGAAAUGUCCCCCGUCGGGACCCCAGUUGAGAUGCUGCCCGUCAGUGUCAACGGGACUGGGCUCAAUAUAAGACAGCUUCCUGUGUCCUUAAAACGGUUGUGGAGCAACAGGGAACUAGCCUCUGCUCCAACUUUUUUGCACGACAGCCCUUCAUAUAUUUGGAGGCAGUUCUCCUUUAACGUUACUUGACUAUAUUGUUUCCCGGAUCCUCACCAAUCUGGGCGGUCGCCUCUUCUCUGUGUGGCUGAUCUCUGCCAUCCUUUCAGAUUCCAUUUUUUGACACUACUCCGUAUGUUCCGUUGUGCGUGUCCUUCCGUUAUCCUUGGCACCCAAACAAGAAGCCUGACCUUGUGCCUGUUUACUUGGAAGUAAGCCUCACUGGGCUCCUUUCCAAAUGAGUGAACAUAGCACUGCAGCCAAAUACAACCUUUAUUAGUUGGCUAGUCAUAGACAGUUAGUGGCUGGUGCAUUUGUUAAAGGGAAGUCCCUGGUUCAAGUGUUACUUCUGCCAUGAGCUCACCGGGUGCGUCCUAAACAAGGCCGCCGCCCCAGCCUUCAAACACUCUCACCCUCUAUACGAGGAAGAACGCUGACCUACCUGUCAGGGUUGUUGGAAGGAUUACAACCAGGUAACGCACGUAAAAUGCUUUGAAUAAUGCCCAUAAUGGAUUACUGUUAUUAUUGUUUGCUAAUUAUUACUACUACUACUUGCAUUUAUAUCCCACCGUUCCUCCAAGGAGCUCAAGGCGGCAUAGUUCUCCACCCCAAUUUAUUUUCACAACAACCCUGAGAGGUCGGUUAGGCUGAGAGUGACUGGUCCAAGAUGACCCAGUGACCUUCAUGCCCUUUUGUUUCCCAGGUCCUAUUAAUAAUAUUUUUUAAUUCAUCAGAAGAAGAUCCCAGGCCGGUUCACAAAAGGGAAACACAAAUUGAGAACCCGGAAUACACAAUAAAGCAAAGCAAACCAAUAACCCCUCUAGUCCUAGCCCAACACUCUUACCACUACACCACACUCUCAGCUUUGUAAAAUACAUAAAACCAACACAGCACUUUAUUUCUUUAUUUUGCAGCUCCAUACAAAGAAAGAAUAAAAAGGCUCCGCUGUGGAGGUGAGCCGGCCAGCCUUUUCCGGGACUUCCAAACUCACGAUCGCGUGCGCCUUCGUCUCAGGCAGGUGUCCCCUGGCGCCUCUCCAGGGCGCAAUCUCCGUCCCUGGGUUAAAGCCCCUCGGCCUGCUCCCCUGACCCGCCCUCGCCUCCUCCCCCCGCCCGGUUGCCACGUCCCUUGCGGGGAAAGAAGCCAAUGGGCGGCCUCCCUCAGGUGUGUCUCUCUCACCUGCACCACGUGGGGCGGAGGAAGGGGCAGGUACAGCCACAUCCCCAAACAGCCCCGGCCCGCAGCCAUUUGCGCGCCUCGCAGGGGUGUAGCCCGCCCUGCGCUGCGGAAUUGGCUCCUGUUGCAAUUAAGCUACAAAAAGAGGCCGCGUGGGGCAGGCGCCUCCCCCCACGCCCCCGCUCUCCUAAAUGCAGGUGCGGGGCAG